GUGAAAGUCACCAGGAAAGAGGAACCUGGGGGCCAGGGGACUGCAAGGCGGCGCAGGCCAGCACACGUCGAGUGCCUGGAGUUGCUCAGCACCAUCGGAGCAGCCCAGGGGGUUGUGUUCGCCUCCCAGGAGGCCCAAGGGCGACCCCAGGGACUUGCAGAUAAGAGUCUUGCUAAUUAUUGUCCAGGCUGGACUCAAACUUGUGAUCCUUCUGCCUCGAGCUCCAGAAAGAGUGUUGCAAAGGAAAACACCAAAUGUUUGAGAAGUUGUGUCGUGAUCGUGUGGAUACAGGUGUUGUCAUUGAUAGAGAAGUGCUACACAAUAAGACAGGCCCUUGCCUCGCCUCCAUUUGUUUUCCACAGAAUGUUUUCUUUGGACAUGUAAGUUUGUGCUGCUGGGCUCCUGCCCAAUGUAUCAAAAUGGUUUGUGGCUGUUUGAACUGUGUGACCUUUCAGGAAUGUUCUGUUAAACUCUGCCCCCUCACAAGAAGGUUCUGUUAAGCUCCGCUCCCUCUCAGUAAUGUUCUGUAACUCCGCCCCUUUGCUUCAGGAAUGUUCUGUAACUCUUCCUCCUGCUUCAUUGAGCAUGCUGGCCUACCCUGUAUAUCCCUAUAUAAGGAGGCUCUCAUUUCUGGUAGAGCACUCAAGACUCCUCUGAGCCCACCAGGAUUUGCUGGUGUAAUAAAGGUUUUUAUCUCCACCUCUUCAACUGACCAUCAGAUUCUUGAGUCUUCAAAUUAUGAGAGCUGUGACGCAGAGCUGCCACACUGAGCUGUAAAGUUCAGCUGUGCCUCAGAGCUGUAACACUUGGCUAUAGCACUGAACUAUUCUGCUCCGCCCAAACAUCAUCUUGUUAUUGGUUCAAACUUCAUGGAAAGAAAACUUACCCACCACCCCAAGGCUUUGUUCCUCCUUCAUCUUCUUAUCUCUGCGCCAGUGGGAAACUGUGUCAUCCUUUGGGUCAUCAAGAGUGGCAGGGUCACUCUUGGCAGCUCUUGGU
rnacentral:lncRNA from 1 species